rnacentral:lncRNA from 10 species
GUGGGAGCUGACCUGUGCAUUACAGAAUGUUUAAGAGCAUCCCUGACCAUUAUACACUAGAUGCAGUAGCACCCUAUCAGUUAUGGCAAUCAAAAAUGUCUCCACAUCUUGUCAAAUGUCCCCGGGUGAAUAAAUCCACCCCUAGUUGAGAACCACUGCUCUAGUUCUAAAAUAUUUCUUCCUAAAACAUAAUUAAAGUAACUUAUUCUAUAUUUUAAUUCUAAGAUACUCUUUUUUUGUAGAAUUCUAGCCUUAAAUUCCACUUCAUCUCUUUAAUAAGAAAAUACAUGGAACACAUAUUUGCUAAAGAUUCUUAACAGUCACUGAUUGGCACUUGAAAUACUUUCAUAUUUUUAUUUACUUUACCUCCAGUAUGGCACUUUGGGUUCAAUUCAGUAGUUGCCUUAAGUUUAAAAAUACUGAAUAUUAUAGUUUACCUCUUCUCUUCUUUUAAGAGCUUACGCAACUUUUCUGCACUUGUUUCUAUUUUCUUUGUUUUCUGCUUUUCUUCCUUUUCAGCUUGUUUUUCUCUUAAUUCCAAAGAUUUCUUUUAGAACCCAGAUAUCGAAAAAAACCACACGUUAAAAAUAGCAGAAUAUAUAAAACCCAGUAUUCAAAAGACCACCCCCAACGAGAAACCCAAUUUAGUAAAACCAAAUCACCAUAGAGCCAGCAUUAAACAGUAUUUUUUUAACAUAAAAAAAUUAGUCAUACAGAUGUUUGGCAUUAGUCAUUGAAAUGGCCAGAACAGCAUUGAGGACCAUAUUGCAGUUGGUAUCCCAUAAAAAAAGGGGAAGCCAUUGC